rnacentral:rRNA from 1 species
AGUGAACGCUGGCGGUAGGCCUAACACAUGCAAGUCGAACGGCAGCACAGUAAGAGCUUGCUCUUACGGGUGGCGAGUGGCGGACGGGUGAGGAAUACAUCGGAAUCUACUUUUUCGUGGGGGAUAACGUAGGGAAACUUACGCUAAUACCGCAUACGACCUACGGGUGAAGGCAGGGGAUCUUCGGACCUUGCGCGAUUGAAUGAGCCGAUGUCGGAUUAGCUAGUUGGCGGGGUAAAGGCCCACCAAGGCGACGAUCCGUAGCUGGUCUGAGAGGAUGAUCAGCCACACUGGAACUGAGACACGGUCCAGACUCCUACGGGAGGCAGCAGUGGGGAAUAUUGGACAAUGGGCGCAAGCCUGAUCCAGCCAUACCGCGUGGGUGAAGAAGGCCUUCGGGUUGUAAAGCCCUGUUGUUGGGAAAGAAAAGCAGCAGGUGAAUACCCCGCUGUUCUGACGGUACCCAAAGAAUAAGCACCGGCUAACUUCGUG